rnacentral:rRNA from 1 species
GUGCCAGCCGCCGCGGUAAUACAGAGACUGCAAGCGUUAUUCGGAUUCACUGGGCGUAAAGGGUGCGCAGGCGGCCGAGUGUGUUAGAUGUGAAAUCCCGGGGCUCAACCCCGGAACUGCGUCUAAAACUACUUGGCUAGAGUAUUGGAGAGGGUAUCGGAAUUCACGGUGUAGCAGUGAAAUGCGUAGAUAUCGUGAGGAACACCAGAGGCGAAGGCGGAUACCUGGACAAUUACUGACGCUCAGGCACGAAAGCGUGGGGAGCAAAAGGGAUUAGAAACCCUUGUAGUCC